GGAGAGGUGGCCGAGUGGCUUAAGGCGCACGCCUGGAAAGCGUGUAUAUGGGAAACUGUAUCGGGGGUUCGAAUCCCUUUCUCUCCGCCA
rnacentral:tRNA from 1 species